UAUGGAAUCAGUAAAACGUUUUCAAACAUUCUAAAGGAAAAGGGGUUAUCGGGGAUGGGUACAAUUGUAUGCCAAACAUGCAAUGCGACAAUCGAUCAUUUGAGGACGAAAAAGUAACGGUAUUGUACGGUCAAUGUAGCGGUUGCGAUUGUGAAGACGAGGAAUAACAUAUAGAACGGAACAAACUUUGGGGGAUGAGGAGACAAUAUAGAGAAAGAGACUGGUUUUCGCCAGUCUCUUUUUA
rnacentral:sRNA from 1 species